AGUUCGAUCCUGGCUCAGAUUGAACGCUGGCGGGAUGCUUUACACACAUGCAAGUCGAACGGCAGCACGGACUUCGGUCUGGUGGCGAGUGGCGGCUGGGUGGUAAUGUAUCGGAACGUGCCUAGUAGCGGGGAUAACUUGCAGCGUAGCUAAUACCACAUACGCCCUUCGAAGCGGGGGACCUUCGGGCCUCGCGCAAUGAAACCCCGGCCGAUGUCGGAUUAGCUAGUUGGUGGGUAACAGCUCGCAAGGCGACGAUCCGUAGCUGGUUUGAAGGACGACCAGCCACACUGGGACUGAGACACGGCCCAGACUCCUACGGGAGGCAGCAGUGGGGAAUUUUGGACAAUAGAAACCUGAUCCCAUGCAUCCCGCGUGUGCGAUGAAGGCCUUCGGGUUGUAAAGCUUUUGGCAGGAAAGAAACGGCGGCGCAGGAUAAUACCCCGUGCAACUGACCAGUACAAGUGCUUUCAGCUAACUACGUGCCAGCAGCCGCGGUAAUACGUAAGUGCAAGCGUUAAUCGGAAUUACUGGGCGUAAAGCGUGCGCAGGCGGUUCGGAAAGAAGAUGUAGAAUCACAGAGCUUAACUUUGGAACUGCAUUUUUAACUACCGAGCUGAAGUGUGUCAGAGGGAGGUGGAAUUCCGCGUGUAGCAGUGAAAUGCGUAGAUAUGCGGAGGAACGCGCGCACGCCGAUGGCGAAGGCAGCCUCCUGGGGUCGCUUGCUGAGCGCUCAACCGCACCGAAAGCGUGGGAGCAAACAGGAUUAGAUGCCUGGUAGUCCACGCCCUAAACGAUGUCAACUAGCUGUUGGGGCCUUCGGGCCUUGGUAGCGCAGCUAACGCGUGAAGUUGACCGCCUAGAGGUACGGUCGCAAGGUCAAACUCAAAGGAAUUGACGGGGACCCGCACAAGCGGUGGAUGAUGUGGAUUAAUUCGAUGCAACGCGAAAAACCUUACCUACCCUUGACAUGUCUGGAAUCCCGAGAUUUGGGAGUGCUCGCAAAGAGAACCGGAACACAGGUGCUGCAUGGCUGUCGUCGAAAGCUCGUGUCGUGAGAUGUUGGGUUAAGUCCCGCAACAGGCACAUGUAUGCAUUAGUUGCUACGAAGGGCACUCUAAUGGGGAACUGCCGGUGACAAACCGGAGGAAGGUGGGGAUGACGUCAAGUCCUCAUGGCCCUUAUGGGUAGGGCUUCACACGUCAUACAAUGGUCGGGACAGAGGGUCGCCAACCCGCGAGGGGCCAAUCCCAGAAACCCGAUCCGUAGUCGGAUCGCAGUCUGCAACUCGACUGCGUGAAGUCGGAAUCGCUAGUAAUCGCGGAUCCAGCAUGUCGCGGUGAAUACGUUCCAGGUCUUGUACACACCGCCCGUCACACCAUGGGAGUGGGUUUUACCAGAAGUAGUUAGCCUAACCUUGGGAGGGCGAUUACCGCAGUAGGAUUCAUGACUGGGGUGAAGUCGUAACAAGGUAG
rnacentral:rRNA from 1 species